rnacentral:lncRNA from 1 species
CAAUAAUCAGAGACAUCUAGUGGAUAACUGAUAAACUGCAGAUAAACACAAUUACUGUCAUCUAAAAGAAAUAUCCUGAUAACCUGGUGGGAUAUGUGAGUUUGAGCACUCUCAAGCUGAAGAAGGCAUUACAGUGAAGGAAACCUGCAAUGCCACUAAAGGUUUUCAUAAGAAAUGACGAUGGAUUCAGCUUUCAUUGUAAUCAAAACAGUGUUUGUCACUCAGAGGGGAAGAGAUGGAUGCUUACACUAAUCCAGGCUUUGUAUUCUGAAGGCAUGGAGACAACCUUCCAGUUUUCUUCCUUUUAG